rnacentral:tRNA from 1 species
GAGCUCAACUGGCGUAGUGAGAUACUGCUAAUUACUUACGACCCUGGUUCGAUUCCAUGGUUUGCUCA